GCAGCGGAUCCGCAUGGAUAUGUUGUUAAAGGUUUAACCGCCUUGGGAUAGCUUGCGUCUGAUUAGUUAGUUGGUGUGGUAACGGCACACCAAGGCUACGAUCAGUAACUGGUCUGAGAGGGAUGAUCAGUCACACUGGAACUGAGACACGGUCCAGACUCCUACGGGAGGCAGCAGUGAGGAAUAUUGGGCAAUGCUCGAAAGAGUGACCCAGCAACGCCGCGUGGAGGAUGAAGGUAUUCUAUAUCGUAAACUCCUGUGAGAGCAGACGAAAGACAGAUUAUUAAUCUGGAUGACUGUAUGCUCAGAGGAAGCCCCCGGCUAACUACGUG
rnacentral:rRNA from 1 species